rnacentral:tRNA from 1 species
GGGCCCGUAGUUUAGUGGCAGAACAGCGCAUUCGCAUUGCGCAAACGGGAGUUCGAUUCUCCCUGGGUCCACCA